rnacentral:rRNA from 1 species
AUUGAACGCUGGCGGCAGGCUUAACACAUGCAAGUCGAGCGGAGUUGUGGUGCUUGCACCAUAACUUAGCGGCGGACGGGUGAGUAAUGCUUAGGAAUCUGCCUAUUAGUGGGGGACAACAUCUCGAAAGGGAUGCUAAUACCGCAUGCGUCCUACGGGAGAAAGCAGGGGACCUUCGGGCCUUGCGCUAAUAGAUGAGCCUAAGUCGGAUUAGCUAGUUGGUGGGGUAAAGGCCUACCAAGGCGACGAUCUGUAGCGGGUCUGAGAGGAUGAUCCGCCACACUGGGACUGAGACACGGUCCAGACUCCUACGGGAGGCAGCAGUGGGGAAUAUUGGACAAUGGGGGGAACCCUGAUCCAGCCAUGCCGCGUGUGUGAAGAAGGCCUUUUGGUUGUAAAGCACUUUAAGCGAGGAGGAGGCUACUGGUAUUAAUACUACCGGAUAGUGGACGUUACUCGCAGAAUAAGCACCGGCUAACUCUGUGCCAGCCGCCGCAGUAACAC